CCUACGGGUGGCAGCAGUGGGGAAUAUUGGACAAUGGGGGGAACCCUGAUCCAGCCAUGCCGCGUGUGUGAAGAAGGCCCUCGGGUUGUAAAGCACUUUCAGUGAGGAAGAACGCCUGGUGGUUAAUACCCAUCAGGAAAGACAUCACUCACAGAAGAAGCACCGGCUAACUCCGUGCCAGCAGCCGCGGUAAUACGGAGGGUGCGAGCGUUAAUCGGAAUUACUGGGCGUAAAGCGCGCGUAGGUGGCUUGAUAAGCCGGUUGUGAAAGCCCCGGGCUCAACCUGGGAACGGCAUCCGGAACUGUCAAGCUAGAGUGCAGGAGAGGAAGGUAGAAUUCCCGGUGUAGCGGUGAAAUGCGUAGAGAUCGGGAGGAAUACCAGUGGCGAAGGCGGCCUUCUGGACUAACACUGACACUGAGGUGCGAAAGCGUGGGUAGCAAACAGGAUUAGAUACCCCAGUAGUC
rnacentral:rRNA from 1 species